rnacentral:misc_RNA from 1 species
AGAAUCAACAGCUGGUUUGUAAUAUAUUAUUAAUAUAUUGGAGGUCUAGAAAAUACGAAGCAUCUAUUCUAAUCACAUAACCCUAUCAUAUGUGUGAUUUGACUCAGGUGCUUGAUAAGUAUAACUCUAAUGGUGGUAUUACUGAAACCUAUCCUAGAAUGGUGGGCCUUGAGAGAAGCUAUAUAUGCUCUUAAAAAGGAGGUAAGAAUAUGAAAGACAACAGUGAAUACAUAAUUGUGGCCAAUUGGUGGCAUGUUGUACAAAUCUUGCCUCAUAGUCAUAACUUGGAAGUCGGAA